rnacentral:rRNA from 1 species
AACGAACGCUGGCGGCAUGCCUAACACAUGCAAGUCGAACGAGACCUUCGGGUCUAGUGGCGCACUGGUGCGUAACGCGUUGGAACCUGCCCUUAGGUUCGGAAUAACUCCCCGAAAGGGGUGCUAAUACCGGCUAAUGUCUUCGGACCAAAGAUUUAUCGCCUUUGGAUGGGCCCGCGUUGGCUUAGCUAGUUGGUAGGGUAAAAGCCUACCAAGGCGAAGAUCCAUAGCUGGUCUGAGAGGAUGAUCAGCCACACUGGGACUGAGACAAGGCCCAGACUCUUACGGGAGGCAGAAGUGGGGAAUAUUGGACAAUGGGCGAAAGAAGGAUCCAGCAAUGCCGCGUGAGUGAUGAAGGUCGGAGGGUUGUAAAGAUCUUUUACCCGGGAUGAUAAUGACAUUACAGGGAGAAUAAGAUCCGGCUAACUCCGUG